CAAAAACAUCUUUUUUUGUUAGUUUUUAAAGAAGGCCCCCCCCCCACUGACUUUGAGUUGAGGGCCGCGGUAUUUUGACCGUGCAAAGGUAGCAUAAUCAUUAGUUCUUUAAUUGUGAUCUGGUAUGAAUGGCUUGACGAGACAUAAGCUGUCUUAGAGGUAUUGUUUUGUUGAAUUUGGUUUUUAAGUUAAAAUUCUUAGAUGUUUUUAUGGGACGAGAAGACCCUAUAGAGUUUGACAUUUUUCUUGCUUUGUGUUGUUUGUUUGUUUUCAUUUUUUAAAUUUAAUUGAAAGGUUUGGUGGGGGGGAGGGGGGAAAUUUUUUUAACCCCCCUUUGCUUCGUAUAUUUAUUUUAAAUUUGGUUGAACCCUUUAUUUUGAUUAAAAAAAUAAAUUACCUU
rnacentral:rRNA from 1 species